rnacentral:lncRNA from 1 species
GUUUUUAGUUAGCAGUCAGUCGUGUCAGGGAGGAUCACUGUAUCAGCUUACAUCAGCUAUCUCACUCCCAGCUAUUUCUGUUCAGUAAUGGCUGGAGGAUCACAAAAAAAGACCUGCCCAAACUGCGGGGAAAAAAUAUACUGCGGACUUAAAAUUUGUUCGUUUUGCAAACAUCCACAACCCCAACAUGUCAGACUUCAGAAAAAGAUGGAAAAAUUUAAAAGUCAGCAGAAGCAGUGGUUGGCAUCCAUGAAAAAUAAUAAAAUAAAGUCCCACGUUCUUGAUGAUGCUGCCAUUCUGCUUGAGAAGUUGUAUGCCCUUGGCAUGAAGCCCCUGCUGCUGAUUGCACAUCCUCCUAAGAUGGUGACAGGGACGCACACGUACCAGACUAAAAUAAUGCUGCCAGUGCAUGCCCAACUUAGCACAUCCGCUAAGACAUGCUUAGAGAAUGUGAAUGCCAUCUACAAAUUGAUGGUUGAAGGUGAGAUUGCAUUUAUUUAACCUUAUUUAUUAAAUUAAUUCUCUAUCAAUUGAACAAUUUUUGGUGUUGUCCUGUACAUUUCCAAACAGCUAAGACUAGAAAUUCUGAUCUGGCUGUAGCCUAGCUGCAACCUAGAGUCAUUUUAAAGAGCUGGUAUUGUGGAAAACAAGGACAAAAAUUGCUUUGGGAUGAUGGCAGGGGUCACAUGUGCUUUAAAAUACCUCACUUCUAUCUCCUUGGUAGUUUUAAGUUAUUCAAACUUUUGAAAUCUGCAGUGGGAGCCCUUUUUUCAGUCUGAACUUUUUAAUGAGUCACACUCACUGUCAAAUCAAAUAUGCUGGAAGCUCUAGCACAAGACCACCAGCAGACUUAUGUACCCUUACGAAAAAGAAGUUUAUUCAAGUGUGCUAUUAGUAUACUUAUUUUAAACUAAAAAAAUAGGAAAGUAUACUUUUAGUUUACUUUUUAUGUACUUCUCAGAAAUGGGCUUUAUGUACUUCUAAGAUAUAUACUUAUAAUGACAAUUAAGUAUACUUGACUUAUACUUACAAAAAGUCAAAAUAUACUUGAACUUUACUUAAGUAUACUUAAUAAAAUAAACUUGAAGUAUACUACUUUUUGGUAAGGGUAGUCACAGUUUGAAUUUCAGCCAGAUGACAAGCAAAGCAGGACACUGGAUGUGUGCUAAAGCUAAAUUAGUGACCUCCAGCUAAAUCCAGUCAAUAAAAAUGUCAGUACUUGGAUUAUGUAAAUUGAUGCAACUGUAUGUCGAUAAGCUUUUGCAGGGUUUUUCCUGCAUAGAGGCUGCAUUGUUUUGACUGGGCCUAAACACUCAGCUGGGAAGCUAGCGCAAAUGGGAAACAGGACUUCCUGUGGUUUUUCAUAAAAUAAAAGCCGGGACUCUGACUCUGUAGUAACGUAGCAACCAGGUUACAUUGCUGUCUCCAUCUCUCUCCU